UUGAACGCUGGCGGCAGGCCUAACACAUGCAAGUCGCACGGUAACAGGAAGAAGCUUGCUUCUUUGCUGACGAGUGGCGGACGGGUGAGUAAUGUCUGGGAAACUGCCUGAUGGAGGGGGAUAACUACUGGAAACGGUAGCUAAUACCGCAUAACGUCGCAAGACCAAAGAGGGGGACCUUCGGGCCUCUUGCCAUCGGAUGUGCCCAGAUGGGAUUAGCUAGUAGGUGGGGUAACGGCUCACCUAGGCGACGAUCCCUAGCUGGUCUGAGAGGAUGACCAGCCACACUGGAACUGAGACACGGUCCAGACUCCUACGGGAGGCAGCAGUGGGGAAUAUUGCACAAAGGGCGCAAGCCUGAUGCAGCCAUGCCGCGUGUAUGAAGAAGGCCUUCGGGUCGUAAAGUACUUUCAGCGGGGAGGAAGGGAGUAAAGUUAAUACCUUUGCUCAUUGACGUUACCCGCAGAAGAAGCACCGGCUAACUCCGUG
rnacentral:rRNA from 1 species